rnacentral:rRNA from 1 species
ACGCACGCUGGCGGCGUGCUUAACACAUGCAAGUCGAACGGAAAGGCCCUGCUUUUGUGGGGUGCUCGAGUGGCGAACGGGUGAGUAACACGUGAGUAACUUGCCCUUGACUUUGGGAUAACUUCAGGAAACUGGGGCUAAUACCGGAUAGGAGCUCCUGCUGCAUGGUGGGGGUUGGAAAGUUUCGGCGGUUGGGGAUGGACUCGCGGCUUAUCAGCUUGUUGGUGGGGUAGUGGCUUACCAAGGCUUUGACGGGUAGCCGGCCUGAGAGGGUGACCGGCCACAUUGGGACUGAGAUACGGCCCAGACUCCUACGGGAGGCAGCAGUGGGGAAUAUUGCACAAUGGGCGGAAGCCUGAUGCAGCAACGCCGCGUGCGGGAUGACGGCCUUCGGGUUGUAAACCGCUUUCGCCUGUGACGAAGCGUGAGUGACGGUAAUGGGUAAAGAAGCACCGGCUAACUACGUG